rnacentral:rRNA from 1 species
AUUGAACGCUGGCGGCAGGCUUAACACAUGCAAGUCGAACGAUGACUCUCUAGCUUGCUAGAGAUGAUUAGUGGCGGACGGGUGAGUAACAUUUAGGAAUCUACCUAGUAGUGGGGGAUAGCUCGGGGAAACUCGAAUUAAUACCGCAUACGACCUACGGGUGAAGGGGGGCGCAAGCUCUUGCUAUUAGAUGAGCCUAAAUCAGAUUAGCUAGUUGGUGGGGUAAAGCCUACCAAGGCGACGAUCUGUAACUGGUCUGAGAGGAUGAUCAGUCACACCGGAACUGAGACACGGUCCGGACUCCUACGGGAGGCAGCAGUGGGGAAUAUUGGACAAUGGGGGCAACCCUGAUCCAGCCAUGCCGCGUGUGUGAAGAAGGCCUUUUGGUUGUAAAGCACUUUAAGCAGGGAGGAGAGGCUAAUGGUUAAUACCCAUUAGAUUAGACGUUACCUGCAGAAUAAGCACCGGCUAACUCUAGUGCCAGCAGCCGCGGUAAU